rfam:TPA: Bos taurus chromosome 9, whole genome shotgun sequence.
UCCCUGGUGGCUCAGAGGUUAAAGCAUCUGCCUCCAACCCAGGAGACCCGGGUUCGAUCCCUGGGUCGGGAA